GAUGAACGCUGGCGGCGUGCUUAAUACAUGCAAGUCGAACGGAGACUGUAGCAAUACUGUCUUAGUGGCGAACGGGUGAGUAACGCGUUGGUGACCUGCCCCGAAGAGGGGGAUAACAGUCCGAAAGGAUUGCUAAUACCCCAUGUGGUCGUUUGGAUUAGAUGCCUUACGACUAAACGGAUUUAUUCGCUUCGGGAGGGGCCUGCGUCCCAUCAGCUAGUUGGUAGGGUAAUAGCCUACCAAGGCGAUGACGGGUAGGGGACCUGAGAGGGUGGCCCCCCACAAUGGAACUGAAACACGGUCCAUACACCUACGGGUGGCAGCAGUAGGGAAUAUUGGUAAUCUGGGAAACCGGGAACCAGCAACGCCGCGUGCGCGAUGAAGGUCUUCGGAUUGUAAAGCACUUUUUGGAGGGAUGAGGAAGGACAGUACCUCCAGAAUAAGCCUCGGCUAACUACGUG
rnacentral:rRNA from 1 species